AGUGAACGCUGGCGGUAGGCCUAACACAUGCAAGUCGAACGGCAGCACAGGAGAGCUUGCUCUCUGGGUGGCGAGUGGCGGACGGGUGAGGAAUACAUCGGAAUCUACUUUUUCGUGGGGGAUAACGUAGGGAAACUUACGCUAAUACCGCAUACGACCUACGGGUGAAAGCAGGGGAUCUUCGGACCUUGCGCGAUUGAGUGAGCCGAUGUCGGAUUAGCUAGUUGGCGGGGUAAAGGGCCACCAAGGCGACGAUCCGUAGCUGGUCUGAGAGGAUGAUCAGCCACUGGAACUGAGACGCGGUCCAGACUCCUACGGGAGGCAGCAGUGGGGAAUAUUGGACAAUGGGCGCAAGCCUGAUCCAGCCAUACCGCGUGGGUGAAGAAGGCCUGCGGGUUGUAAAGCCCUUUUGUUGUGAAAGAAAUCCAGCUGGUUAAUACCCGGUUGGGAUGACGGUACCCAAAGAAUAAGCACCGGCUAACUUCGUGCCAGCAGCCGCCGUAA
rnacentral:rRNA from 1 species